rnacentral:tRNA from 1 species
CAGUUUAGUAGUUUAUUUAAAACAUUAUUUUUGGGGGAUAAAGAUCUUUUUUUGUAGCUAACUGG